CGGUGCAGUCUUUGCGGGUCACUGAAGGUCUUGGAAGUGGCCAUCGAGGUGUUUCGAGGAAGAAGAACGGAACUCUGACGAACGGACCUUCAAGACGAUCAGCCGAUUCGAAGCCUACACAAGACUGCUUCAAAUCGUCUAUAUCCUUCUCCUAUCUCGACUCUGUAGUAAUGGCGUGCCCGGGGGAGGCGUGGGGCAGGGACGGUCUCAAGUUAACUCUGAUUUCCUCCGCCUACGGACGCCUCGAGCCCUCCGCCACACACCGCCCAUCGAAGAAGCUGUACUGGCACCACCACGAGCCAAUGGAGAGGCGAGCCAAGGCUACACGCGGCUUAAGGAGAACUAGUCAGCAGCGUUGCCAUCAUCCGCCGCCCGCACCCGCAGCCUCACACACCUGCCAGCACGCACACACCUGUCACGCGGCAGUCGAAGAAGGGGGCAAGGCGGAAGAAUGAAGCAAACAAGAUCCUGGAGCCACGAAACUACCCUACCUGAGUCCUGCCGUAGAGGUAGAGGUCGAGGGCGAUGUAGUCCCUGAGCUCCAGCCACACAGGGUAGAGCUGCGUGGUGAAGAAGGCCUUGCUCUUGGGGGACAGCGCCUCGUAGUACACCGACACCUUCGUCUUCUUCUGUCAGGGAGGAAGGGCAGCUCCUGAAGUAUGAAUGGCAGCUUGAUUGUACGUGUGAAGCGCAGACACUGGUUUCAACAGGGGAUGCUUGCAGUCUGUCAGCCUCAGGGCAUUUAGUAACACACUCAUGGACUGAUGCAAGGAGUGUUGGUCUGUUGACUGAC